rnacentral:rRNA from 1 species
GACGAACGCUGGCGGCGUGCUUAACACAUGCAAGUCGAACGGCAACGCCCUGCUUUUGUGGGGUGCUCGAGUGGCGAACGGGUGAGUAACACGUGAGUAACCUGCCCUUGACUUUGGGAUAACUUCAGGAAACUGGGGCUAAUACCGGAUAGGAGCUCAUGCUGCAUGGUGGGGGUUGGAUCGUUUCGGCGGGUGGGGAUGGACUCGCGGCUUAUCAGCUUGUUGGUGGGGUAGUGGCUUACCAAGGCUUUGACGGGUCGCCGGCCUGAGAGGGUGACCGGCCACAAUGGGACUGAGAUACGGCGCAGAGUCCUACGGGAGGCAGCAGGGGGGAAUAUUGUACAAUGGGAGGAAGCCUGAUGCAGCAACGCCGCGUUCGGGAUGACGGCCUGCGGGUUGUAAACCGCAUUCGCCUGUGACGAAGCGGGAGUGACGGUAAUGGGUAAAGAAGCACCGGCUAACUACGUG